UACGGGGGGAGCAAGCGUUGUUCGGAUUUACUGGGCGUAAAGGGCGCGUAGGCGGCCUGUUAAGUCGAACGUGAAAUCCCCGGGCUCAACCCGGGAACUGCGUCCGAUACUGGCAGGCUUGAAUUCGGGAGAGGGAUGUGGAAUUCCAGGUGUAGCGGUGAAAUGCGUAGAUAUCUGGAGGAACACCGGUGGCGAAGGCGGCAUCCUGGACCGAUAUUGACGCUGAUGCGCGAAAGCCAGGGGAGCAAACGGG
rnacentral:rRNA from 1 species